GACGAACGCUGGCGGCGUGCUUAACACAUGCAAGUCGAACGGAAAGGCCCUGCUUUUGUGGGGUGCUCGAGUGGCGAACGGGUGAGUAACACGUGAGUAACCUGCCCUUGACUUUGGGAUAACUUCAGGAAACUGGGGCUAAUACCGGAUAGGAGCUCCUGCUGCAUGGUGGGGGUUGGAAAGUUUCGGCGGUUGGGGAUGGACUCGCGGCUUAUCAGCUUGUUGGUGGGGUAGUGGCUUACCAAGGCUUUGACGGGUAGCCGGCCUGAGAGGGUGACCGGCCACAUUGGGACUGAGAUAGGGCCCAGACUCCUACGGGAGGCAGCAGUGGGGAAUAUUGCACAAUGGGCGGAAGCCUGAUGCAGCAACGCCGCGUGCGGGAUGACGGCCUUCGGGUUGUAAACCGCUUUCGCCGGUGACGAAGCGUGAGUGACGGUAAUGGGUAAAGAAGCACCGGCUAACUACGUG
rnacentral:rRNA from 1 species